CAGUAGCCGCGGGAAAACGGAGGGGGCUAGCGUUGUUCGGAAUUACUGGGCGUAAAGCGCACGUAGGCGGCUUUGUAAGUUAGAGGUGAAAGCCCGGAGCUCAGCUCCGGAAUUGCCUUUAAGACUGCAGAGCUAGCAGGUGAGAGAGGUGAGUGGAAUUCCGAGUGUAGAGGUGAAAUUCGUAGAUAUUCGGAAGAACACCAGUGGCGAAGGCGGCUCACUGGCUCAUACUGGACGCUGAGGUGCGAAAGCGUGGGGAGCAAACAGGAUUAGAUACCCCCGUAGUCCCUGUCUCUUAUAC
rnacentral:rRNA from 1 species